rnacentral:tRNA from 1 species
GGGGGAUUAGCUCAGUUGGCUAGAGCACCUGCUUUGCAAGCAGGGGGUCAAGGGUUCGACUCCCUUAUCCUCCACUA